ACCUAACUUUGAAGGAUGAGAACUACAACUAAGAUGAAAAAGAAAAAACCCAUUCAUUUGUCUUUCCAUUGCCUAUUUUUGCUUAUCCGUGCCCUCCUCUCCUGCUGAGAGCAUGUUCCAGACACACRGGAAACAAAUUCUGUCAGGAAUAAUCCUGGCUUGCCACCUGUCCUUAUCUCCAGAGGUCAUCGGGCGAGAGGCAGAGGAACACCUUGGAGAGGCCUCCAAUGGGACUCGGACCUCCUGAGUGGAGGGAAGUGAAUGACUGUAUGUGUCGUGAGCUGGGGGCCACAUGUCUCCAGUGACCGUUGGUUCUCUCUGCAGUCUGCAGGAACGGAUAAAAGAUCGAGUUCCACCUGCUCCCAGUGCUGGGAGCUGAAAAACACGGCUGCCAGUCAAAAACAACCAAUCAGAGCCAGGAGGCAUGGGCGCCUGAGAGCAGCAUGAAGAGCUUAAAGGCAUCUUUAUGGAAGAGCGAAGCAACAGCAGCACGGCAGUAACAGAGAAAGUAGAGGAAGAGAUAGAGGGGUGGGAGGAGGAAGGGAGCACCACAAGAUGAAAGGAACAGCUGUAUACAAAUGACAAGCUUCCAUACCCCACCAACAGCAGCGCUGCCGCCGCCACCACCAGCCGCUCUCCCCUCUCCCCCUCCACCUGCAGUGAUGUGCCCUGUGCGGUCAUCGAACAGCUUCAAAGAGCCAGGCAGGCGAGACGAGGCGAGGCGAGCGGGCCGAAUCCUCAAAGAGACAGCCUCCGUCUCGUCCUCGCCGAACACCGUGGCCUCUGACACACAAACACAAUCUGCCUCAUCCAUGCAUACAGCACACCAUCCACC